GAUGAACGCUGGCGGCGUGCCUAAUACAUGCAAGUCGAGCGAACGGACGAGAAGCUUGCUUCUCUGAUGUUAGCGGCGGACGGGUGAGUAACACGUGGAUAACCUACCUAUAAGACUGGGAUAACUUCGGGAAACCGGAGCUAAUACCGGAUAAUAUUUUGAACCGCAUGGUUCAAAAGUGAAAGACGGUCUUGCUGUCACUUAUAGAUGGAUCCGCGCUGCAUUAGCUAGUUGGUAAGGUAACGGCUUACCAAGGCAACGAUGCAUAGCCGACCUGAGAGGGUGAUCGACCACACUGGAACUGAGACACGGUCCAGAAUCCUAGGGGAGGCAGCAGUAGGAAAUCUUCCGCAAGGGGCGAAAGCCUGACGGAGCAACGCCGCGUGAGUGAUAAAGGUCUUCGGAUCGUAAAACUCUGUGAUUAGGGAAGAACAUAUGUGUAAGUAACUGUGCACAUCUUGACGGUACCGAAGCAGAAAGCCACGGCUAACUACGU
rnacentral:rRNA from 1 species